GGUCCCGCCUGCCCUGUUGACUAGAAUGUUUAACGGCCGCGGUAUUUUGACCGUGCGAAGGUAGCGCAAUCACUUGUCUUUUAAAUGGAGACCUGUAUGAAUGGCAUAACGAGGGCUUAACUGUCUCCUUCCCCCCGUCAAUGAAAUUGAUCUCCCCGUGCAGAAGCGGGGAUAUUUAUAUAAGACGAGAAGACCCUAUGGAGCUUUAGACGACGAGACGGCCCAUGUUAAUAUUCCCAGAAUAAAGGAACAAACCACCGACCCCCCGUUUUAAUGUCUUUGGUUGGGGCGACCGCGGGGAAACACAAAACCCCCAUGUGGAAUGAGAGUACCCCUCUUUCAACUAAGAGCCACAGCUCUAAGUAGCAGAAUCUCUGACCUUAAGAUCCGGCAAUGCCGAUCAACGGACCGAGUUACCCUAGGGAUAACAGCGCAAUCCUCUUUUAGAGCCCAUAUCGACAAGAGGGUUUACGACCUCGAUGUUGGAUCAGGACAUCCUAAAGGUGCAGCCGCUUUUAAGGGUUCGUUUGUUCAACGACUAAUAGUCCUA
rnacentral:rRNA from 1 species